GUGGGGAAUAUUGGACAAUGGGGGGAACCCUGAUCCAACCAUGCCGCGUGUGUGAAGAAGGCCUUUUGGUUGUAAAGCACUUUAAGUGGGGAGGAGGCUUACCUGGUUAAUACCUGGGCUAAGUGGACGUUACCCACAGAAUAAGCACCGGCUAACUCUGUGCCAGCAGCCGCGGUAAUACAGAGGGUGCGAGCGUUAAUCGGAUUUACUGGGCGUAAAGCGCGCGUAGGUGGUUAAUUAAGUCAAAUGUGAAAUCCCCGAGCUUAACUUGGGAAUUGCAUUCGAUACUGGUUAGCUAGAGUAUGGGAGAGGAUGGUAGAAUUCCAGGUGUAGCGGUGAAAUGCGUAGAGAUCUGGAGGAAUACCGAUGGCGAAGGCAGCCAUCUGGCCUAAUACUGACACUGAGGUGCGAAAGCAUGGGGAGCAAACAGGAUUAGAUACCCCAGUAGUCC
rnacentral:rRNA from 1 species